rnacentral:lncRNA from 1 species
CAGGGUUGUUUGCUUUUCUUGAUCAGUACAGAAAAUAGGCCAAUUGCUCCUAGACAGUCACACAAUGGGUGCUAACUAUUAGGCCAUGUGACACAAGCAAUUGCUCGUUAAAUAUAUUCGUCAUCUUCUUCUAAGUUUUUUGGAAAAAGAUAUCAUUUUGAUAAUUGCCUUGGUCAUUUUCUUGCCUCAUCAAGCAAGCAUGACUAGUUCAAGGGCA